rnacentral:rRNA from 1 species
GAUGAACGCUGGCGGCGUGCUUAACACAUGCAAGUCGAACGAAGCACUUUAUUUGAUUUCCUUCGGGACUGAUUAUUUUGUGACUGAGUGGCGGACGGGUGAGUAACGCGUGGGUAACCUGCCUUGUACAGGGGGAUAACAGUUGGAAACGGCUGCUAAUACCGCAUAAGCGCACGGCAUCGCAUGAUGCAGUGUGAAAAACUCCGGUGGUAUAAGAUGGACCCGCGUUGGAUUAGCUAGGUGGUGAGGUAACGGCCCACCAAGGCGACGAUCCAUAGCCGACCUGAGAGGGUGACCGGCCACAUUGGGACUGAGACGCGGCCCAAACUCCUACGGGAGGCAGCAGUGGGGAAUAUUGCACAAUGGGCGAAAGCCUGAUGCAGCGACGCCGCGUGAGCGAAGAAGUAUUUCGGCAUGUAAAGCUCUAUCAGCAGGGAAGAUAAUGACGGUACCUGACGAAGAAGCACCGGCUAAAUACGUG